CUCAAAUGUUGCUUAUUUCAGAGAGAAACGUCUUCAAGAUCAGAAAAGCCCCAUGGAACAGGGUCAUAGGCUGUUACUGCAGAAGCUACAGCUGGAGUGUAUUGUGCAUGUCCCAUGCCUUGAGUCCCAUGGUUGGUUUUUGCAGUGGAAUGCGAUGCCCCAGGCUUUUUGUGGAUCCAACAGAGCAGAGCUUGACCUGGGCUGGUGGUAGCUGCCACCACAUCACAAUAAACAGCCUGUCCAGUAAAUGGAUCCAUCCCACCUGCCCUGUAAACGGACGUUUGUGAGAAUUUCUCAAUCCCAACUAAUUGAUCUCUGGCCAGUAACGGCAUCGCUGGCAGAAAUGGGUAAACAGCAGAAGCCAAAGAUCAAUGUUGUUUAAGCUCUAGGCAGCAUAUUCACUCAUUUAAACCCUGUAAUGGGCCAGGUAUCAAAAUAACUGAGUAGAUCAAAAACUCAGGGUUUUUUUCCAAGUGCUCACGUUUUUCUUUUUUCCUCUUUUUGUUUUCUUGAGCCCAGCGUUGGCUAAUGACGAAAGCAUCGCUUCUUCUAGCCCCCCUGGCACUUGCGGCCGGUUAUUGAAAACAGAACCACGCAAGCACCAGGACCAGUUUGGCAUCCGAACCAGUUUGGUGGAAACACCCCUUUGUGUUGCAAGCAUCAAAGAACAGCUGGUGUUCUCUCAGUUUUAAAGGUCUUAAACGAGCCAAACAUUUCAUAGCAAUUGGAAGCCAUCUGCAAAUCAUUUUCCAUUUAGUCUUUACUGCUUCAGCUUAUUUUAUUUAUGUUUAAUAAAGAAGUUAAGUGUUGCUGUACUUCACCACUCAGCCUUGAUGCAUUGACACUUAUGCAUAUAUCUAUAUAUAUGUUACACUGGCUUGUACAUACUAUGUUUCUGUCGGUUUUGUAUUGUUCCUGUUGAGCAAAUCAGCAGUAACCCCAGCUUUCAGUGCUGUGAUCCAGCUCUGACAUUAAUCUAGACAAAAAGGUCUGAGGAGGAAUUUUCUCUAGCUGUCUAAAAUGAAUAAUGAUUUCUUCAGUAUUCGUUUUUUUUUGUUGUUGUUGUUGCUAAUAACUGGAUGGAAAGUAUGGAGUAGCUAUUCAUAGCCUUUUGCACGCAGUGCUUCUGGUUUUGUAUUGAGGUGGACUUUCUAUGUACUGCCCAUCUUCUAGGUUUAAUAGAAAGUAAAACAGACAUAAUUUAAGUUAUUUUUCUGUCUUGCUUUAUUUGUGGUGUUAAACGUUUAAAAAGGUUUCUAAAGUGACUUUCUCUGCAGUAGAAAAAGGAUCCAAACCAUCCAUUUAACUGCGAGUCAACAAGAUUCUGGGUACUUAAAUUUAAGUUUUAGUAUUUUCCAUGUCUGAAAAAAGUAUGAAAAAUGUGACUUGCCAGAUGUUUUUCCUUCUUCCAUUAUUUGAAAGACACAAAAAUCAAAAUUUCUGGAGUAUAAACUUUACACAACAUUGACUUAUUUUUAGUUGGGAUCCUCCAAGUUAAAAUUACAACGUCCAAAAUUUUCGCCUGACUCAAUGUUUCGCUUUUCAGUUAUUGAGAGACGUGACGAAUAAAAAAUAUAAAUAAAUAAUCAGAAACUGGAUUUGUAGUUCUUAAUCAGUUUGGACUUGGACACUUAUUUCUUGGAGCCUUCGUUACAAAAUCAAGCCAUCACAGAUCACAAAAAAAAAAAAACUAUGUAAAUUUUUGAA